rnacentral:rRNA from 1 species
CCUACGGGAGGCUGCAGUGGGGAAUAUUGGGCAAUGGGCGAAAGCCUGACCCAGCAACGCCGCGUGAAGGAAGAAGGCUUUCGGGUUGUAAACUUCUUUUAAGAGGGAAGAGCAGAAGACGGUACCUGUUGAAUAAGCCACGGCUAACUACGUGCCAGCAGCCGCGGUAAUACGUAGGUGGCAAGCGUUGUCCGGAUUUACUGGGUGUAAAGGGCGUGUAGCCGGGCUGACAAGUCAGAUGUGAAAUCCUGGGGCUCAACCGCCGAACUGCAUUUGAAACUGUUUGUCUUGAGUAUCGGAGAGGCAGGCGGAAUUCCUAGUGUAGCGGUGAAAUGCGUAGAUAUUAGGAGGAACACCAGUGGCGAAGGCGGACGGCUGGACGACAACUGACGGUGAGGCGCGAAAGCGUGGGGAGCAAACAGGAUUAGAUACCCUUGUAGUC